GGGAUUGUGGCUCAGUGAUAAGAGCGUUCGCCCGGCAUAUGUGAGGCCCUGAGUUCAAUCCUCAGCAACACA
rnacentral:tRNA from 1 species